rnacentral:rRNA from 1 species
CCUACGGGUGGCAGCAGUGGGGAAUAUUGGACAAUGGGCGAAAGCCUGAUUCAGCCAUGCCGCGUGUGUGAAGAAGGCCUUCGGGUUGUAAAGCACUUUCAGUGGGGAAGAAAGCCUUGGGGCUAAUACCCUCGAGGAAGGACAUCACCCACAGAAGAAGCACCGGCUAACUCCGUGCCAGCAGCCGCGGUAAUACGGAGGGUGCGAGCGUUAAUCGGAAUUACUGGGCGUAAAGCGCGCGUAGGCGGUCUGAUAAGCCGGUUGUGAAAGCCCCGGGCUCAACCUGGGAACGGCAUCCGGAACUGUCAGGCUAGAGUGCAGGAGAGGAAGGUAGAAUUCCCGGUGUAGCGGUGAAAUGCGUAGAGAUCGGGAGGAAUACCAGUGGCGAAGGCGGCCUUCUGGACUGACACUGACGCUGAGGUGCGAAAGCGUGGGUAGCAAACAGGAUUAGAUACCCUAGUAGUC